rnacentral:ncRNA from 1 species
UAGUCGGCUUCGAUGAAAAGGGAAACAGGUGUAAAACCUGUACGAACUCGUCACUGUAAUAAGCAAGCCAGCACAAUAUGCCACUGGGUUUUUCUUGGGAAGGCGUGUUAUGGCGUUAAAGCUUUAAGUCAGGAAACCUGCCCCAAAUGU